UACCAGCUCUCCGAGUGGUAGGGAUGAUUAUUGGGCUUAAAGCGUCCGUAGCCGGCUUGGCAAGUUUCCUGUUAAACUCUGCGACUUAAUCGUUGAAUCGCGGGAAAUACUACUAGGCUAGGAGGCGGGAGAGGUCAACGGUACUUCUGGGGUAGGGGUGAAAUCCUAUAAUCCCGGGAGGACCACCAGUGGCGAAGGCUGUUGACUAGAACGCGCUCGACGGUGAGGGACGAAAGCUGGGGGGAGCGAACCGGAUUAGAUACCCGGGUAGUCCCAGCUGUAAACGAUGCGGGCUAGGUGUUGGGAUGGCUACGUGCCAUUUCAGUGCCGCAGGGAAGCCAUUAAGCCCGCCGCCUGGGGAGUACGGCCGCAAGGCUGAAACUUAAAGGAAUUGGCGGGGGAGCACCACAAGGCGUGAAGCUUGCGGUUC
rnacentral:rRNA from 1 species